GAAGAGAAAGGAGAAGAAAAGAGGAAAAAACAGAUUAUGGAGUUUCAUUGCCUUGUGGGUUGCAAGUACAGACUCUUGUGGGUCUGAUGGGUUCUUAUAUAAGGAGUAAGAGGAAGAAGGACGAUAUGAAAGAGAAGACUUUGACCGAGUAAGAGGCAGUAGCAGGAGUGAAAAUGUAGAACUUUGGACGCAUUAUUUAUUUAUUUGGAGCCUUUUCCUUCACGAAUGGGAUGGAAGAACAAAUGAAC
rnacentral:misc_RNA from 1 species